CUGCCCGUUGUGACGUAGGAUUUGGUCGAAAUGUUUUGUCGUAGGUCCAGUAUGACUAAAUCUUAAUUUGUCCUUCUUUUUCCCUUAGAUUCUGGCAGAAUUCUGUCGCUUAGCAAGCAAAAACAAGUUCUUUAAAGAACUUGAUAAAUGCACUUCUCGCUUCCUUGAGAUUUUCAAGUUGGGGUUGUUUGCAAGGAUCUUAUGGAAUAUCUGCAACAAGUCACUCCAGCAAGCACAGAUGUCACUGGGAAGCGGACAGCAGUCCCCCGUGGCCUUCCGGCGAUCAGAGCACUGACUUCAAGACAUGCUUUGACUGCAAUGACCUUCCCAACACAUUGCACACCUCCAUGGGGAUCGGUGCGGCCUAUCCUCGCUCACUGCACCUUGAGUCGACCGCCAAUGCAAUCGUUUUGGAAGUAACACUGGUCUUAAGUGACCUUCAAAAUUUUCCGCAUGCCAUGUGCCUACUCUAUUCACACCCUGAAUUUGGAGUACCCUCAGACUCUGGACACCUGGUGAGUUCAUUCAAAAAGUGCUUCUAUCACUUGGACCAAAAUCCCUGAAACACAAACUUCAGUCACUGAAAAACCUUCUAAAUGCAGUGAGGGACUGUUCAUGAUGCACAUGUUCUGUGACUCUUUACUAAAGAAAAUGAAUGUUUUUACAGUCAUCCAGUGCAGUUGACAAUUGCGUUUGUCAGUUUGUUACACACCAUAGAGAACUUAACAAAGAGAUUCACAAUUCUUCACGAUAAAAGGCAAUUUGUAUGAUUCAUAUUUGGUUAAGUGCCUGUUGUUUUACAGUUAAAUUGGAUUUUAAAUGGACCGCUGAAUUAGACUUUUAAGCGGGAGACAUGAAAACUACAAAAUAAAACGACGUGAAUCCCAAACCGUGACAUCUCUGCCCGCUAUCCUUGCUGCAGAUAUUUUCUCUGAUACCUUGCACUUAUGUACACGCUGAAAUACUUCCCUCCAGUCUGGAUCAAGCUCUCCCUGAAAGGUAGUGUCCAACUCUGCCGUAAACCAACUGCUUGCAUCUCUCUAUGUUCAUACCAAUGAAACCUGCCACUGAAUCAUGAAGGCUCUUUGACUGUGGUCGUUUCAACUUUUCGUUCUCGUCGGCUGACACUUCUGGGAAUGGAUGUUUGACGACUCAGAAGCCCACUCUUGUUUAACCCCAUAGCCUCCAUAUCCAGUUCAACAUAACCCAUGUAGGGAAUUGCCAAAGAGUGCAGUCAACUUGAGCCACUCAUCUUCCUCUUUCCCGAGUAAGUUUUGCCCGAAGAAAGAUUCAGAAACGACUCCCUGUAUCCAACAGCCACUAAUUUGAACCGAAACUUCCCGACACUCGCCCACCGCCCGCUCAACAAACCGCUCACGGUUAAUAGUCUUAGAGCCUGGCUCUUGGCAUCCGAGGUGGCUAGUUUUCCUGAGUAGAUGCAUUGGUGGUAGUGGAAUGGCUUUCUGGUUUGCGCCGUGGACACUCCCUCGCGAUAUGUCCCUCCCCUUUACAUUUGAAGCAAAUGGGCUUCCCGUCUUCUCGUACUUCUCCUUGGUAUUACAGGGCUUGUCUUCAAAGGACCAGGCAAUGGCCUCUUCACGUACCUCUAACAGAGAUGACUGGGGCUUCUCCUUGACCAUUUUACGUAACUCCUCUUCCGAGAGAGGAAUCUUGCACAACCUCAAUGAAUUGGUCUUUGACGGCUAUUGUCACAGCGUCAGGCUUCUGUUUCAGGGCUGAUUGUAGAAUUGCAUGCCAGUGCUCUUGAACCCCUUGAUAAACAUAUGACCUACUUGAAACCUUAUUUAAGGUGUCGAUAGCGUCCAUGGCUUUUUUUCCCGCGUUUCACUCUGUGCCUGUAAUUGUCCUAAAGCAUCAGUCUCUCCCUCUUCGGAGCACUGCUCGUCCUCACUGUCUCCGACAUGGUGAACGGGUCUCUCUGGUGACGGGCUGUCGGAUGUGUUUUCCUCCCCCGAAGCGAACCUUCUCCCUCCACGUUCUCUGUGAGCUAAUCCAAUCUCCAAAUUAUAGACACCCCCCCCCCCUCCUAUUUACGGGUCUUUCUUUUUAAAAAUUUGAGAGCGCCAUUAGCCUUGUAGCUCUCCCAUGAACACACAGCUGAACAACAUCUGCAAACAUGAGACCAACCAAAACAUCGGCGCAUUUAGCAUCAAACUAUACAUUUUCUGAAUUAUCCGCGCACCGUUUUACGUACAUUUUUAAAUGGCUCUGUACAGAGAUGGCAGUCAGAAUGUAUUUACUCAAAGAAAAUUAUCAGCCGCUCCACAGGAGAGUCACGUUAAGAGUGAACUUCACUUCCCGUUUCCCACGUCAUGCUGGCCGUCUCAGAAGCACAGCGCCCUCUGCUGGCUUUAGUGGUGAACGUUAUAUUUCCCCACUGGGCUACACUUAUAAAAUAAAACUGGAAUCUUUUUCUUGACAAAGGAAGAGACAAUGCUGGAUUAACUGUUGGUUAUAGUUUUUAGUAGUAAAUCGUUUUUGCUGUAAAGAUUCUCUAGUUACACCUAAAUCAUGUUAUAAAUGAUGUGCAAAUAAUUAUUUUAAUUAAUGUUAAUCUUUUACUUCCUCCCUCUGCAUUGAAAUGUAGCUGACACUGAUUUGCCUGAACCGAAGGCAAUCCGAAUGGUAAUGUGGCCAACAGAGAAACGUAUGGGUUGAAUAUCUUAUCUGGAUUUUAUCCACGAAGCAAAUGAGGGAUAGGAUUUUGGUAAUCCAUCAAGAACAUGAUAUUAAAGUGAAUAAAGAGAGAAAUAAGUACUGCUGGUAGCACUAGAGUGAAGCUCAGGGGAUCAACAUACUAAGAAGAUUCAUCUUGAGGCGACCAAUACUGUAUGAAACAAUGUUGUAAAAUGUGAAUGUAAAAUAUCUUUUAAAUUCAUAAACAAAGUAGUCACGGUCAAAUAAA